ensembl:lncRNA
GGUCAGAGUAAUGUUGUGAGAUGGAGGUCAGAGUAAUGUUGUGAGAUGGAGGUCAGAGUAGUGUUGUGAGAUGGAGGUCAGAGUAAUGUUGUGAGAUGGAGGUCGGAGUAAUGUUGUGAGAUAGAGGUCAGAGAAGUGUUGUGAGAUGGAGGUCAGAGUAAUGUUGUGAGAUAGAGGUCAGAGUAAUGUUGUGAGAUGGAGGUCAGAGAAUUGUUGUGAGAUGGAGGUCAGAGUAGUGUUGUGAGAUGGAGGUCGGAGUAAUGUUGUGAGAUAGAGGUCAGAGUAAUGUUGUGAGAUGGAG